CUUUUUUUUUUUUUUUUUUUUUUUUUUUUUUUUUUUUUUUUUUUUUUUUUUUUUGUUUAAUGCACCUUUAA
rnacentral:ribozyme from 1 species